rnacentral:rRNA from 1 species
UUAGUAUAGAGUUAAGUUAUUUAAGUUUUUAAUUUGUUAUAUUAAUAAAUUAUGUAAUAAUUAAAAUAAUAUAAAAUUUUUUUUGUUUUAGUAUAAAAUUUAAAAUAGAUAGUUUUAUUUUUAAAUGUAAAUGGAUAUUUUGAAAUAAAUUAAAAAUAUAUUAUUGAUUAAGUAAAAUUUAUUUUUUGUACCUUUUGUAUCAGGGAUUAUUAAUUAAAUUUUAGUAAUUAGUUUAANNUUCUCGAGUUNAUUAGAGCUAAUAUAUUAUUUAAGUUAAUGUAGAAUUAUUAUUUAAAAUUUUAUAUUAGAGGAGAAAUUCUAGUCAAUAGUUAAGAUAUCUAGNUUUUUUAGAAAUAAAUUUAAUUUAUUUAUUAAAUUUGAGAGUUGAAAUUUUAAUUUAAAUACUUUUAUUUAAUAGAAAAAAUUUAAGGGAUUAGCUUUAAAUUUAAAGAUUAAAAAUUGUUUUGUUAUUUUAUUUAAGGUGGAAUUAAUAAAAAUUUUAAAUAAAAAUGUAUUUUCUUUAUAAAUUAUAGAUUUAGAAUUGAUUAUUAGUUUAAAGUAUUUAAUAAUUUAUUAAAAAUUUAUUAUUAAAUUUAUUAACGGUUUUNAUUAUUUAUAAAAAUUAUUAAUUAAANAAUUUAAUUUAUUUAWUAAKGAWAAUAUUAUUAUAANUUAUYGNRUUWUUUAAUUNUUAUUUUUAAANUUAAWARAWAAUUUUAUUAAAUUUAUUAUUUAAAUAUAAUUAUAAGGAACUAGACAAAUAAAAUAUCUACCUGUUUAACAAAAACAUGUCUUUUUGAUUAUAAUUUAAAGUCUAAUCUGCCCACUGAGAAUAACUUAAAUGGCCGCGGUAUUUUGACCGUGCAAAGGUAGCAUAAUCAUUAGUUUUUUAAUUGAAAGCUUGUAUGAACGAUUGAAUAAGAUAUUUAUUGUCUCAUAAUUAUUUAUAUUAAAAUUUAAUUUUUAAGUUAAAAAGCUUAAAUUAAAUUAAAGGACGAGAAGACCCUAUAGAUUUUUAUAAAUAAAUAUUUAUAUUUAAGUAAUUUUAUUAUUAAGAUAAUUAAUAAUUUAUUUUGUUGGGGUGACAAAAAAAUUAAACUAACUUUUUUAUAGAUUUAAAAUAUAACAUUAAUGUAUGAAUUUUUAAUAGAUAAGAAUUUAUUUAUUAAUAUUGAUCCUAAAUUUUAGAUUAUUAGAAAAAAAUACCUUAGGGAUAACAGCGUAAUUUAUUCGGAGAGUUCAUAUUAAUGAAUGAGUUUGCGACCUCGAUGUUGAAUUAAGAAAAUGUUUAGGUGUAGAUGCUUAAAUAAUAGGUCUGUUCGACCUUUAAAUUCUUACAUGAUUUGAGUUCAGAUCGGCGUGAGCCAGAUCGGAUUCUAUCCUUAAUUARUUAWUNAAUAUUUUUGUACGAAAGGACUUWAUAUUUURAAUAUUUUUAUUAUAAAUUGAAUAAAAUUAAUUUUUUG